AUUGAACGCUGGCGGCAGGCCUAACACAUGCAAGUCGAGCGAGCGGCGGACGGGUGAGUAAUGUAUGGGGACUGCCCGAUAGAGGGGGAUAACUACUGGAAACGGUGGCUAAUACCGCAUACUAUCGGAUAACCCAUAUGGGAUUAGAUAGUAGGUGGGGUAACGGCUCACCUAGGCGACGAUCUCUCGCUGGUCGGAGAGGAUGAUCAGCCACACUGGGACUGAGACACGGCCCAGACUCCUACGGAGGCAGCAGUGGGGAAUAUUGCACAUGGGGCGCAAGCCUGAUGCAGCCAGGCCGCGUGGAGGAAGAAGGCCUUAGGGUUGUAAAGUACUUUCGGUAGCGAGGCGUUAACUACAGAAGAAGCACCGGCUAACUCCGUGCCAGCAGCCGCGGUAAUUC
rnacentral:rRNA from 1 species